rnacentral:rRNA from 1 species
GACGAACGCUGGCGGCGUGCCUAAUACAUGCAAGUCGAGCGGACGAAUCGAAAGCUUGCUUUUGAUUCGUUAGCGGCGGACGGGUGAGUAACACGUGGGCAACCUGCCCUGUAGACGGGGAUAACACCGAGAAAUCGGUGCUAAUACCGGAUAACACGAAAUGUCGCAUGACGUUUCGUUGAAAGACGGCGCAAGCUGCCGCUACAGGAUGGGCCCGCGGCGCAUUAGCUAGUUGGUGAGGUAACGGCUCACCAAGGCGACGAUACGUAGCCGACCUGAGAGGGUGAUCGGCCACACUGGGACUGAGACACGGCCCAGACUCCUACGGGAGGCAGCAGUAGGGAAUCUUCCGCAAUGGACGAAAGUCUGACGGAGCAACGCUGCGUGAGCGAAGAAGGCCUUCGGGUCGUAAAGCUCUGUUGUUAGGGAAGAACAAGUAACGCAGUAACUGGCGUUACCGUGACGGUACCUAACGAGAAAGCCACGGCUAACUACGUG